UACGUAGGGUGCAAGCGUUGUCCGGAAUUAUUGGGCGUAAAGAGCUCUUAGGCGGUCUGUCGCGUCGGAUGUGAAAAUCCAGGGCUCAACCCUGGACCUGCAUUCGAUACGGGCAGACUAGAGUUCGGCAGGGGAGACUGGAAUUCCUGGUGUAGCGGUGAAAUGCGCAGAUAUCAGGAGGAACACCGGUGGCGAAGGCGGGUCUCUGGGCCGAUACUGACGCUGAGGAGCGAAAGCGUGGGGAGCGAACAGG
rnacentral:rRNA from 1 species